GCCAUAGGAUUGGGGAUGGGACCCAGGCUGGCAGGAUGGGAAACCUGUCUCAAGGGAUGGGAUUAGCACCGGGCCCCUAAGAUGUGAGAUGGGAGUCGGUCACCCCAGCCAGGAUGGGGGGAUGGCUGACCACUACCACCCCCCGGGAUUGGGGGAUUAGACCGUUUUUGCAACCCUCUGUUCCACGGAACUCCCGCUGAGUACCUUGGAGGUCAUAUCAAUGAGGAGGCUCGCUUGAGACAGCUUCGCUUGCAGUAUGGCCAUGUCAACAUGUACCCUAAAGUAAUAUCAGUAUUGAAGUAAACGCACGUAUGUAAAUGGCCAACGCAGGCGUGGAAUUUGUUUUGGACUUUCCGCGGUACUGCAAACGCGGAAAUGCAGAUUCUCUUUCCGCACUUUUGUCAUUCUAGGCUCUCUGCGGAAAGUGGGAAGAAACCUAUUUCCACAGGUUUCCGUUUCCGCACGUUUCGGUAUCGGCUAGAUCCCUGGUGUAAAGUGGGCCCAAUGGAAAGUGAAAUUCAUAUAUUUCUAUAGUCAACUUGUAAAAUUUCU
rnacentral:lncRNA from 1 species